GGGAAAGCUUGUUGCUGCCGGAAAUUACUCAUUUGUCUAGAUGAAUUAUUCUGGCUCUGCCCAAUACUAGGGUGAUUUUUCCAACCUUGGCUAGAAUUACCUUGGUUGAAAUUUCCUUGCUUGUAUUGAAAUUGGGCUCCCAUAUAAUUAACAUCCUCCUGCAUCUCCUCAAUGAAAGCACAUUGACCAUUGAUAUGGUCGCCAC
rnacentral:lncRNA from 1 species